AUUGAACGCUGGCGGCAGGCCUAACACAUGCAAGUCGAGCGGAUGAAGGGAGCUUGCUCCUGGAUUCAGCGGCGGACGGGUGAGUAAUGCCUAGGAAUCUGCCUGGUAGUGUGGGAUAACGUCCGGAAACGGGCGCUAAUACCGCAUACGUCCUGACGGCGAACGUGGGGGAUCUUCGGACCUCACGCUAUCAGAUGAGCCUAGGUCGGAUUAGCUAGUUGGUGGGGUAAAGGCCUACCAAGGCGACGAUCCGUAACUGGUCUGAGAGGAUGAUCAGUCACACUGGAACUGAGACACGGUCCAGACUCCUACGGGAGGCAGCAGUGGGGAAUAUUGGACAAUGGGCGAAAGCCUGAUACAGCCAUACCGCGUGUGUGAAGAAGGUCUUCGGAUUGUAAAGCACUUUAGGUUGGGAGGAAAAGCAGUAGGUUAAUAACUGGCCGUUUUGACGUUACCAAAAGAAUAAGCACCGGCUAACUGCGUG
rnacentral:rRNA from 1 species